CCAACCUGUCCAAUAGACCAAAACGCUACAAAAACACGAAGCUGAAGGAAUAAAACUACUCCUAAUUACCCGCCUUCCCAACCCCAGCCAUCCUAUCGACGUUGCUGGUCCUCAGGCCGAGCCCAGCCCACCACACGCCUCUGAAGCGCCGCCUUCUCCACACAACGGCUGGCGCCGCCUCCUCAACCGUCCCAUCCGCUGUCAUGGCCGAGGAAGGAGCCGCCAAACUGAGCCUUAAAGCCAGGAAAGCACCCACAGCCCACGGCAGGGAGAACAACAGGGCUACAGAGCGACAGGCAUCGACUGACAGAAGUUCCUGGUUUGAAAACAAUGAUUUAAACGAGUGUGAGAAGACAUGGAGCUUGCUACUGAGGAACAUCAGUCCAGAUUUACAAUGCACAAGUUGGCAGACAGUGCCCAGCUUUCCACAGUUCUUCAGCAAGUCUUUGUAGCACGACCAGCUUUGUUUUUAGUGUGUGCAUUUGUUCUGAAGACAUUGUGUGUCACAGGGCUCUGAGGAAGAGAAUCUACAAAAACAAGAAGUCUUCAAGAUUGGAAUGAAAGACUUUCACUGGACACCAUUCCCAUCCUUUCACAAAGAACAUUUUAAACCAGAUUUUAGCUCCCCUCAGCUAAUAGAAACACAACUGGAGCAUUUACAUGAAGAAUGGGACCAAGCAGAUGAACCGAAAAGUUUACCUUCUGCAUCUGAGCAAAUGUGCUGUAAAACUAAUACAGGUCCCCCCCCAGACAUGGCUGGGGAAGACAUAGGAGGUAUUUCCAAGGCAGAUGUAGAUCUCAAACCAUUUACAGACACUCAACAUAAAACUUCUACAUGCCACCUGCCAUUACCACAAGGAACUGUAAAAGCUUUAAGUGUUCAACAGCAUUGCAGAGGGACUGUGCAGAACAGCAAGGAGAAGGGAAAACAAGAGAAAAGCGAGCUUCAAGCACAAACACAUCAAAGCAGUAUUUCAUUUGGUGAGAGCAGGAGUGUUCCUACAGGAAGGAAACCUCCACUGCUGAGCAUGGCUGGAAAUGAGAGCUGCAAAGAGAAUUCGGUACAGGAGAGUGAAGGAUCUUCAGCUCUUGACAGCUGCCCAAUGUGCCUGACUCCUUUCAGUGGGAGGCUGUCACAACUGGAUAUCGAUGGCCAUCUUGCUAGAUGCUUAUCUGAAAGCACAGAUGAUAUCAUGUGGUAAACCCAGAAUAAUGAAGAACAAAGGGACAAAGUUGACAAUGAACCUUUCUCAAAGGAAAAGGAAAAAUGUGUCAAGGAAACGCGUCCUUGUCUCAAACUUCCUGAAAUAUCACAGAUCAGGAACUGAAAGGGAAGGUCAAGUGCUGCCUGCCCAUUGUUUGGGAUCAUUUUAAAUCCUCUCAUAUGUCACCAAAAUAGUUGAGAGCAGCACAUACAACUGCCAUCACAGAACGUGAAAAAUCACAACAAACCAGUAUCUGAAGUUCUGUCUCAGCAAACCCUUUUCUUCUGGACCUCCAGAGCCUGCAGUCCAGCCGUGAGCCAAUACAGGGAAUAAACAGAGUACAGUAUUGAGGUACAGGCAUAACUCUGUAGGCUUUUUAAUUUACAAUAAGGUCGCUUUAAAAAUUGCAGGUUGGACAUAGCUCAGUUUACUGAUAAAUAAUAACAAUUAUCUUUUUCAUUAAAGUCUUUAAUAGAUGUGCAAGAAUAUAAAUGAUCUUAGCUGUUAUGGAUUAGUAAUACCAUCUUCUGCACAAAUAAAACUGGUCAAAGAUCCCAACUAAUUAAUUAUACAAAACUACAAGAACAUAUUUACUGUUUUACAAUCAUCAUAGUAGCUAGAAUUUUCAUUUACUAUUUCAAAUAAGACAACUAUAUAUCAUAACCAGAUCCAUUUGUAAUAUAUUAGGAUUUUUUUAAACCACACAUUUAAUUACAUCCUUCAUUUUCUUUUAUUUAUAAAACAAGUACUUUAUAUAAAAAUUUCCCCUUCAUUAUGAACAGAACAUUAUUCAUACACUUGCACAUGAGAAACCAAACUCGUAUCCAGCAAACUAUUUGGCAACACAGCAACAUUGUAAAUGCCUGUAAGUUUUUAAAUAAAUCAAGUAUUCUCCACAAGGUUUGUGUAGCA